AUCCACAAUGUGUCUGUGUGUUUCAGGAGUCUGGUCCUCUUGGCUGUGUGUCGUUGGGGUGGUUGCAUCCCCUCUCUGGCUGGGCUAGAAGCACCUCUAGACCCAGUCACCUCUGGUGCUGCACCUGCGAAAACCAAAGCUGAGCCCAGGAGUGUGGACUGCAAGAGCUGCAAUCCCAGGACGUCCAAGGGUCCCACCUCCAUGGAAGGCAAGGAGUCCCUCAGGCUGUGCGAGCCUGGUGUUCCACAGCGACACCCUGUGGCCAGAGCCAGAGCAGCCUGACCCCCACCUUGCACCAGGAACGCUCCAAAGCUCUUGGUCACCAGGGAGGCAGGGCCUGUAAGAGGUGAUCCACCAGGCUUGGAGCAAAUAAGGACAAGUUGAACAUGAGCAAUUACUUUUUUGAAGCAUCAUGUGGUCAUAUUUGACCUCCAAACUGGGAGAAGCCGGGGGAAGCUGAGGGCAAAUGACUUCUAUGUCAUCACAGCCCCCACGAUCGCUUUGUGGGAAGGCCAGCACGAGGUCCGUAAUAUCUAACAUCUGUCAAUGAGAAAAGGGUGUUUGAAUUGCAAACAUUUGAUGAACGCCAAACUUCCAAGGCUGGGCAGGGAGGUGGGUCGGCUUCUGGGGGCCACUUGCCCAGCACCAACUCUGACCGC
ensembl:lncRNA